CGAGCACGCGCGUGUGGCAUAUCAAUAAGCGGAGGAAAAGAAACUAACAAGGAUUCCCUUAGUAACGGCGAGUGAAGCGGGAAGAGCUCAAAUUUGAAAUCUUCAAGGUUCUACCUUGACGAAUUGUAGUUUAUAGAAGUGUUUUCUGUUAGUGGAGUGGCAAAAGUUCUUUGGAAUAGGACAUCAUAGAGGGUGAGAGUCCCGUAUUUGGUCAUUCCUCCUAGCGUUGUGAUACACUUUCAACGAGUCGGAUUGUUUGGGAAUGCAGUCCAAAAUGGGUGGUAAAUUUCAUCUAAAGCUAAAUAUUGGCGAGAGACCGAUAGCGAACAAGUACCGUGAGGGAAAGAUGAAAAGAACUUUGAAAAGAGAGUUAAACAGUACGUGAAAUUGUCAAAAGGGAAGCGUUUGACACCAGUGUUGUUUUUCCGAAAAUCAAUUACGAAUGUUUUAGUUUUUAAGGAGUUAUGACUUCAUCGGCUUGCUUCCUUUCUUUAUGAAACUUUCUUAAUGCACUUUUCGGUUAACAAGUCAACAUCAAUUUCUUUUGCUGUAAAAGGGUAUGAGGAAGGUGGCUUCAUCUUCGGUAGAAGUGUUUAUAGCCUUGUAGCCUCUACAAUCGGAGAGAUUGAGGUCUGCAGCGUAGACUCUUCGGGGUUAGAUACAGUUAGAUGCUAAGUUAUAGCUUUUCAUAGACAACUUGUUGACUAUGUUUAGUCUUGUAGCUUACUCGCUUAUGCUAUUUUACCUACGCUUAGGAUGUUGAACUCUAUCACACACAG
rnacentral:rRNA from 1 species